UAAUACGGAGGGUGCAAGCGUUAUCCGGAUUCAUUGGGUUUAAAGGGUGCGUAGGCGGGGCGAUAAGUCAGUGGUGAAAUCCUGCAGCUUAACUGUAGCAUUGCCAUUGAUACUGUCGUCCUUGAGUACGCUUGACGUGAGCGGAAUGUGCCGUGUAGCGGUGAAAUGCUUAGAUAUGGCACAGAACACCAAUUGCGAAGGCAGCUCACGAAGGCGAAACUGACGCUGAGGCACGAAAGCGUGGGGAUCGAACAGGAUUAGAUACCCUGGUAGUCCACGCCGUAAACGAUGAUCACUCGUGAUUGGCGAUACACGGUCAGUCACCUAGCGAAAGCGUUAAGUGAUCCACCUGGGGAGUACGAUCGCAAGAUUG
rnacentral:rRNA from 1 species